rnacentral:rRNA from 1 species
UACGGGGGGGGCAAGCGUUGUUCGGAAUUACUGGGCGUAAAGGGCUCGUAGGCGGCCAACUAAGUCGGAUGUGAAAUCCCCAGGCUUAACCUGGGAACUGCAUCCGAUACUGGAUGGCUUGAAUCCGGGAGGGGGAUGCAGAAUUCCAGGUGUAGCGGUGAAAUGCGUAGAUAUCUGGAGGAAUACCGGUGGCGAAGGCGGCUUCCUGGACCGACACUGACGCUGAGGCGCGAAAGCUAGGGGAGCAAACGGG